rnacentral:rRNA from 1 species
GAUGAACGCUGGCGGCGUGCCUCAAACAUGCAAGUCGAGCGGGGCUAUGUAAUAUCGCAAGGUAGAACAUAGCCUAGCGGCGAACGGGUGAGUAACACGUGGGUAACCUGCCUGGAAGACAGGGAUAACGAUUCGAAAGGGUCGCUAAUACCUGAUAAUAUCCUUUCAUCGCAUGGUGAUAGGAAGAAAGGGGAAACCCGCUUUCAGAUGGGCCCGCGUCCCAUCAGCUAGUUGGUAAGGUAAAGGCUUACCAAGGCGACGACGGGUAGCCGGUCUGAGAGGAUGUACGGCCACACUGGGACUGAGAUACGGCCCAGACUCCUACGGGAGGCAGCAGUGGGGAAUAUUGCGCAAUGGGGGAAACCCUGACGCAGCGACGCCGCGUGAGCGAAGAAGGCCUUCGGGUUGUAAAGCUCUGUUGUAAGGGACGAAGGAUUGGGGUAGUAACUGACCCCAAGGUGACGGUACCUUACGAGGAAGCCCCGGCUAACUACGUG